rnacentral:rRNA from 1 species
UACGUAGGGUGCAAGCGUUAAUCGGAAUUACUGGGCGUAAAGCGUGCGCAGGCGGUUGUGUAAGUCAGAUGUGAAAUCCCCGGGCUCAACCUGGGAAUUGCAUUUGAGACUGCACGGCUAGAGUGUGUCAGAGGGGGGUAGAAUUCCACGUGUAGCAGUGAAAUGCGUAGAUAUGUGGAGGAAUACCGAUGGCGAAGGCAGCCCCCUGGGAUAACACUGACGCUCAUGCACGAAAGCGUGGGGAG